AUACGGAGGGUGCAAGCGUUACUCGGAAUCACUGGGCGUAAAGCGCGCGCAGGCGGCUAAUUAAGUUGGAUGUGAAAGCCUACGGCUCAACCGUAGAACUGCAUCCAAAACUAUUUAGCUAGAGUGUGGGAGAGGAAGAUGGAAUUAGUUGUGUAGGGGUAAAAUCCGUAGAGAUAACUAGGAAUACCAAAAGCGAAGGCAAUCUUCUGGAACACUACUGACGCUGAGGCGCGAAAGCGUGGGGAGCAAACAGGAUUAGAAACCCUAGUAGUCC
rnacentral:rRNA from 1 species